rnacentral:rRNA from 1 species
GACUCGUCACACUAUCAUUAACUGAAUCCAUAGGUUAAUGAGGCGAACCGGGGGAACUGAAACAUCUAAGUACCCCGAGGAAAAGAAAUCAACCGAGAUUCCCCCAGUAGCGGCGAGCGAACGGGGAGGAGCCCAGAGCCUGAAUCAGCAUGUGUGUUAGUGGAAGCGUCUGGAAAGGCGCGCGAUACAGGGUGACAGCCCCGUACACAAAAGCGCAUGUGCUGUGAGCUCGAUGAGUAGGGCGGGACACGUGGUAUCCUGUCUGAAUAUGGGGGGACCAUCCUCCAAGGCUAAAUACUCCUGACUGACCGAUAGUGAACCAGUACCGUGAGGGAAAGGCGAAAAGAACCCCGGCGAGGGGAGUGAAAAAGAACCUGAAACCGUGUACGUACAAGCAGUGGGAGCACCCUUUGGGGUGUGACUGCGUACCUUUUGUAUAAUGGGUCAGCGACUUAUAUUCUGUAGCAAGGUUAACCGAAUAGGGGAGCCGGAGGGAAACCGAGUCUUAAUUGGGCGUUAAGUUGCAGGGUAUAGACCCGAAACCCGGUGAUCUAGCCAUGGGCAGGUUGAAGGUUGGGUAACACUAACUGGAGGACCGAACCGACUAAUGUUGAAAAAUUAGCGGAUGACCUGUGGCUGGGGGUGAAAGGCCAAUCAAACCGGGAGAUAGCUGGUUCUCCCCGAAAGCUAUUUAGGUAGCGCCUCGUGAAUUCAUCUCCGGGGGUAGAGCACUGUUUCGGCUAGGGGGCCAUCCCGGCUUACCAACCCGAUGCAAACUGCGAAUACCGGAGAAUGUUAUCACGGGAGACACACGGCGGGUGCUAACGUCCGUCGUGAAGAGGGAAACAACCCAGACCGCCAGCUAAGGUCCCAAAGUCAUGGUUAAGUGGGAAACGAUGUGGGAAGGCCCAGACAGCCAGGAUGUUGGCUUAGAAGCAGCCAUCAUUUAAAGAAAGCGUAAUAGCUCACUGGUCGAGUCGGCCUGCGCGGAAGAUGUAACGGGGCUAAACCAUGCACCGAAGCUGCGGCAGCGACACUCAGGUGUCGUUGGGUAGGGGAGCGUUCUGUAAGCCUGCGAAGGUGGCCUGUGAGGGUUGCUGGAGGUAUCAGAAGUGCGAAUGCUGACAUAAGUAACGAUAAAGCGGGUGAAAAGCCCGCUCGCCGGAAGACCAAGGGUUCCUGUCCAACGUUAAUCGGGGCAGGGUGAGUCGACCCCUAAGGCGAGGCCGAAAGGCGUAGUCGAUGGGAAACGGGUUAAUAUUCCCGUACUUGGUGUUACUGCGAAGGGGGGACGGAGAAGGCUAUGUUGGCCGGG